AGAGAGUGCAAGCGUUAAUCGGAAUUACUGGGCGUAAAGCGCGCGUAGGUGGGUGCUUAAGUCGGAUGUGAAAGCCCUGGGCUCAACCCAGGAACUGCAUUCGAUACUGGGCACCUAGAGUAUAGUAGAGGGAAGUGGAAUUUCCGGUGUAGCGGUGAAAUGCGUAGAUAUCGGAAGGAACACCAGUGGCGAAGGCGGCUUCCUGGACUAAUACUGACACUGAGGUGCGAAAGCGUGGGGAGCAAACAGGAUUAGAGACCCUGGUAGUCCACGCUGUCAACGAUGAGAACUAGAUGUUGGGGAGUAUAUCUCUUUAGUAUCGAAGCUAACGCGUUAAGUUCUCCGCCUGGGAGUACGGCCGCAAGGUUA
rnacentral:rRNA from 1 species